AUUGAACGCUGGCGGCAGGCCUACCACAUGCAAGUCUCACGAGUGGCGGACGGGUGAGUAAUGUCUGGGCAACUGCCCGAUGGAGGGGGCUAACUACUGGAAACGGUAGCUAAUACCGCAUACCAUCGGAUGUGCCCAGAUGGGAUUAGCUAGUAGGUGGGGUAAUGGCUCACCUAGGAGACGAUCCAUAGCUGGUCUGAGAGGAUGACCAGCAACACUGGAACUGAGACACGGUCCAGACUCCGACGGGAGGCAGCAGUGGGGAAUAUUGCACAAUGGGCGAAAGCCUGAUGCAGCCAUGCCGCGUGUAGUAAGAAGGCCUUCGUGUUGUAAAGUACUUUCAGCGAGGAGGCGUUACUCGCAGAAGAAGCACCGGCUAACUCCGUGCCAGCAGCCGCGGUAAUUC
rnacentral:rRNA from 1 species